AAAGCACGUCAGUAGAACAGGGGGUAAGGUAGAAGAGAAACGUUUUGUACUUUAAAAGCAUGUCUCUCAUCUACAAACAGAACAAAUGACAGAAUGUUCUCAUAAGCAAAUCUCUCUAUUCUUUGGCAGUAAUUGUGUCCAUAUUUAUGUAACAUAAUAAACAAGUAUUUCAGUAUUUUUGAACUAUGAUUUGAAUAUUAAUAUACUCAAGUUACAAAUGUAGAAGUCCUGGCUCCUAAAGAAAGUCUCUCGGUAGACAAGUUGAAAACUUUGCUAUAUAUGAAUGUAAGAAAAUGGCCAAGUUCACUGGGCAUGGUGGCUCACGCCUAUAAUAAUCCCAGCACUUUGGGAGGCUGAGGCGGGUGGAUUACCUGAGGUCAGGAGUUCAAAACCAGCCUAGCCAAUAUGGCGACACCCUGUCUUUACUAAAAAUACAAAAAUUAGUUGGGCGUGGUGGUGGGCACCUGUAAUCCUAACUACUCGGGAGGCUGAGGUGGGAGAAUCACUUGAAACCGGGAGGUGGAGGCUGCAGUGAGCUGAGAUUGUGCCACUGCACUCCAGCCUGGGCAACAGAGUGAGACUCAGAGUGAGACUCCAUCUCAAAAGAAAAAAAAAGAAAAAAGAAAACAGCUGAGUUCAUAAAACCUAUCUGUUACAGGGGAACUCAGAAUGCUUUUGCAGCCUGCCAUCUUUAGUGCCUGCCUUUCCAGUCACCUCUUCCCCACCAUUUUCCUGAUCCUCCGACUUGACAGCUCCCAGAACUUGGCUUUCCUGUCUUUUAGGUACAUGCAGUGACGGAGGCACUGCUGAAGUUAGGGGCAAUCUGCAGGUUUGUGUUUCAGGAGGCAGGCAAACCAAAGGUAAGAACAUCUUCUGAUUAACUGUAAGAUGGGAUAAUUUUUAUGAAUACAACUUCAGAAAGCAUCAAGUUUCAAGGGUGUUUGCGUUUGAAAGGAUUUGGCUUCUAAGUAUUACAUUAUAAAAGAGUCUUCUUAAGGAGACAUGUAAAAAGUAACUCAUAUCCAGUAGCUCCAACCCAGCUUCCAACAGAUUUCUAGACUUAGACCUUUAGAUUCCUGACUCUAAGAUAACAGAAAAUGCCAGAAAGGUAGAGGGGAAGAGGGAAAAUAAUGAUCUAAUAUUAGUAAAGUGCUACAAAUUUUGCAGUAAAAUAUACUACAUAAAUGACUAGAAGUAACAGUAAAUAAUAUUAAGAUACUAUAUAAAGACUAUAUAUUAAGACACUAAAUAAAAUACACACACUAUAGAAUGUACACGGAGUAAUCACUACCCAUGGGUUGACAAAUACACCAGAAUAAACAUGAGUCCUUUUUAUUAAUUUUACAACAUAACUGCUAAAGUAAUUAUUUUCCUUCAUCAAGCUAGUUACCACUCAAGUGUUAACGCCUACCUGGAAGUCUCCCAUGUUAAAGCCUCAACAUGCUUUGGUAGUCUUCUUUCUCUCAAGUAGGAGUUGCUUUUCUCAUGAUACCUAAUUCUUCCUCUAAGCUCUAAGUAGAUAUAAUUCGGAUUUGAUAGUCCCAUGGGCCCAAACUUUGAGGCCGUGGACACCUCUGAUUUCACCUUUAUCAGGUAAAUAAUGGCACAAUGUUGAAUAUACUUUAAAAAUGUCUACUUUUGCCUUCAUUUAAAACAAAACUGUGUGGGGCUACUGUGUGUAAGUAAGAAGGACAUAAAAUUGAGCCUAUGGCUUGCAAACUAGAUAAAGCAGAUCUAGAUAACACCAAGUUGGUCACGAUUUUCAGCCACCGCAGAUUUCUUCUCAUCUCAUCAAAUCAUAGUAUCCUUGGCGACCUAAAAUCACUUUCUCAGCUUUAGUAAUAGCCAAACAGUCUCAAAAUGAAAAUAAGUGUUUUUCCCUUUACUAGUAAACAUAUACAACUACAUUAUGCACCUAGUUAAUACUCAAUGAAGGGAAGGACAAUUAGAAAAUAAAUUAGAUAUUUGUUUACUCUUUUACUGAAUAAUCAUGUAAUACAGAGGAUUUUAGGCAAACUAUUGCUUUGGGAACAUCUGUUUAGAUAAUGCAAGUUUUCAUUGUAUUAGGACUUCCCUCUGCCUGCAUAUUUGUUUAUAAUUAGGCUAUUUCUUAUCCCAAUGAUCCACUCCACUUUCUAGGAAUGAAUUUGCCUUAAUAGCCUUCCAUUAUGUUCUUAGGUUUCUAUACUCAUGCAAACACACACAGCAUGCAAACCGAGUCUUACAGAGUAUUACUGGAAAUUAUAAGAAAACAGAAAACUUCUGAAGAGACAUCAAGUAAUUCCUGAUCUAUAUCUAUAUAUUUAUCUAUCAUAGGAAAACAUUUAUAACCCCCCACAAUCACCAAAACUCAUAUACUUGCCAUAAUUAGGUACAGGUCUCUUGUUUCUCAAACAAAUGUCCCUUUCUCUAUCAUUUCAGUCAAUGUGGAGAAUCCAAGGAUGCCCAUGUUUUAAGUCAACAUGAAUUAAAUGUUUUAUAAGUUUCUAUAGUCAUAUAGAUAAUACAUGUGAAAUGGUUUGAUAAAAGGCUAUUUAAAAAAUAAAAUCAUCUAUAUAUACUUCCCCAGAAAAUCAUCAGUGAUUUAAAAGAGAUGGAUGCCACCCCAUUUGUGCUGCCCCUUGUUUUCUAGAAAGGAAGCUAAAUAUUAAUACUUCGGUAAUUUGAGGGAUUGGGUGGAAAUUAGCUCUGUUAGCAUAUUAUGUUAUGUUUUUUAGGCUUCUGGGAACUGAACAGCAUUUGCUGCAAAACUUUAGACCACUUCUGUGUUAAAACUGGACAAUAAAACAUUUUCAACAAAAGGAACAUACACCAAUUAUUAUUUAAAUAUUCUUUAUAGAUAGAAAAUAAAAAAUUAGACGACAGAUACAUUGAGAAUAGCCUUCCUCAUAGAAAAAACUUCAUGAUAUAAAACAUUCAAAUCAUUAUUAUAGUUAUCAAGAAUAAGCUCUGAAACCUCCUUCUAAAUGUAAUGAAACUAGGUUGGAUAAUUACCAAAAGAAACUGCCAUUUUGACAGAAUGAUAGGAAGAGAGAUUAUCCUUAUUGAAUGGAAAAUCCUUCUAAUUUAUAAAAAUGAAAAAAUAGAAAAAAUGAUAAAAUAAUUUUCAAAGAUUCUGACAUCCCAUUUGAUUUUGCUCAGAAUAGUCUUUCAUCCUACUGUAUGGUAUUACACAGGCUUCACUGUUGAGAAGUACAAUGCUACAUCAGUUUGACGGCCACUGCUAGGCAAAGAAUCCCUUCAUAAUAUAAGAAUAAAAACUCAAAAUAUUCUUCUACAGUUUCAUGAAUAGACAACAAAAAGCACUUUGUCUUCAUGUUGUUAUUUUGCCCUCAGCAAAAAGCAAGAUACCAAGCACUUUCCUCUCACUUUAGAAACAAAGAUGUUCUUAUCCACGUGGCUGUAAACUAGCUCGGUUUCCACUAGCUGUGGGUUGUGGAUGCUUUCUCAGAUAAAUCACACAUGAUCCAACUGGGGAUAACUGGAGUUAUCCUGGACUCAGAGAUCUAGAUAAUAGGAGACUAAAUGCAGAGUUAAGAGAAUUUUUAAAAGUAAUUUAGAUUUUUGUUUCAAGAUAAUUCUUAUAUUGGGAUAAAGACUUCCAAGUUUUUAACAUGCUGUUAUCAUUAAAAUGACAGGUGAAUUUUUGUGAGGGAGCAGGAGAGGCUGAAAAAUAUUUCAAACAAUUACUUAGCAAACGAGAAUAAACCAAACUGCUACUUUCGAAAAGGAAAUAGGAGGCUGGGGCAGUAACACACGCUGAUGUUUCUGACUGGAUAACAUUUAGCUUAAUUUUGUACAGUUGAGCUUUUAUUAUAUUAACAAUAAAACCUCAACAAAAUUACAGACAGCAAUUUCAUCCUUAUUAUAGUCUAAUAAUCUAAUUAAAACACUUAGGUUAAGGAUGUCUAAUAGAAAUGUCAAUCUUGGUAAAUUUUGGAACACAGGGUCUUUAGGGACUUUUUUCUGCAUUACUAUCAAAUAGACAAAUGGUAAAAGAUAUGACGGAGUUUUUCAAAGUUCUUUAAAAAUAUGUACAAUUGUAUACUUGAUUCUCUUUUCAGAUAUUAUACACUACUAUAUUUUCUGGAUUACAAACUUCUGAAAUACACACUGUGGAACAUAAAUGCUAGGUUUUAAUAUUCUUUAGUUCUUUACUUUGUAUUUUCUCACCCUGGUUAGAAGGAAAACAGAAAAUGAUCUUCCUGUUUAUAAGACUUCAGACACUGUGGUGACAGUGUGCUCCAACCCAACACAGCAACCCUGUACUUGCUCCAUGCUGGUGCCUGGACAAGCUCCACUGCACAAGCCAACGUGGCCCCAGGAAGGUGCUGUAUGCGAGAGUUUGUAAAAAUACAGCACAGCAUCACUCACGAUGAGGCAAAGCUCCUAGUGACUUUAAAUUUCCAGAUAGACCAGACAACAUCACGAAUCUCCUGAGGAAUCAUUAAUCAUUACUAGAGAAACAGAAACGUCAUAAACCCUGUCCAAAGCUGGACACCGGACAUGGAGUUGCCACCGUUAGAGCUAAAUUUUAUUCUUGGCUUUCUGAUACCUAAAGUAUAUUCAGAAGUUUUUUUUUUUUUUUUUUUUACAACAGCCUGUUUUGUUUUUAAACAUCAUAAAAUGUUUAGAAAUAUAAUUUCUCCUAUGUAAUGAAACUAAUACACUGAAUUUUAUAGGUAAAAGAGAAUGAAAAUUAUAAAUGUAGGCUGGGCGCGGUGGCUCACGCCUGUAAUCCCAGCACUCUGGGAGGCUGAGGCGGGUGGAUCACGAGGUCAGGAGAUCGAGACCAUCCUGGCUAACAUGGUGAAACCCCGUCUCUACUAAAAAAUACAAAAAAUUAGUCGGGCGUAGUGGCGGGCGCCUGUAGUCCCCGCUACUCAGGAGGCUGAGGCAGGAGAAUGGCGUGAACCCGGGAGGCGGAGCUUGCAGUGAGCCGAGAUCGCGCCACUGCACUCCAGCCUGGGUGACAGAGCGAGACAUCAUCUCACAAAAAAAAAAAAAAGAAAGAAAAUUAUAAAUGUAAACAUCAAAAUAAUAGCAUACAACAGAUGCUGAAGAAAAGUCAGAAGUACGACUGGGCGCGGUGGCUCGUGCCUGUAAUCUCAGCACUUUGGGAGGCCGAGGUGGGUAGAUCACGAGGUCAGGAGUUUGAGACCAGCCUGGCCAACAUGGUGAAACACCAUCUCUACUAAAUUACAAAAAUUAGCCAGCCAUGGUGGUGGGCACCUGUAAUCCCAGCUACUCUGGAGGCUGAGGCAGGAGAAUUGCUUGAACCCGGGAGGCAGAGGCUGCAGUGAGCCGAGAUCAUGCCACGGCACUACAGCCUGGGUGACGGAACGAGGCUCCGUCUCGGGGGGAAAAAAAAGUCAGAAGUAAAACUCCCCUCUAAAAGCCUGGGGCCUUUCCAACCCAGAUAGAGAAAAAAUAUCUGGGUAGGUGGAUGGGUAGGAGAUUAGGACUGGGGCUGUAAAUAGAAAAUGAAAAUGAAAACCUCUCAUCUCACAGAACAAAAUUCAUUCAGUGAGUAGUUCACAGACUGUUUUUUUUUUUUUUUUUUUUUUUUUUUUUCUUGCGACAGAGUUUCGCUCUUGUCGCCAGGCUGGGGUGCAAUGGCGCCAUCUCGGCUCACUGCAAUCUCUGUCUCCCAGGUUCAAGCAAUUCUCCUGCCUCACCCUCCCAAGUAGCUGGGACUACAGGCACACACCACCAUGCCUGGCUAAUUGUUUGUAUUUUUAGUAGAGACGGAGUUUCACCAUGUUGGACAGGCUGGUCUGGAAGUCCUGACCUCAGAUGAUGUGCCUGUCUCGGUCUCCCAAAUGGUGAGAUUGCAGGCGUGAGGCACCACGUCUGGCCCCAAUUUGCUUUAAAAAUAGUUGGAUCCUCAGGCUAUUUGUGAAACACGGGUAGAGGUAAGAACCGUCUGAAAGUUUUUAAUCUUUUACUUUGGAAACUUUGCAGUUGAUCAGGUCUGCGUAGCCUCCUGAAGCCCUACAGCAGUUCUACUCAUGGCUAUCUCCAUUUAUCCCUAACUUCUGCUGCUUUGUGGUCCUGUCAGGCAGAAGCAUUCAUGCUGUGCUCAGACUUCUGUACUUAAUGUAAAAAAUUAGCACAAUGUAUGGCUCCAGUUCUGUGUAUACUCUAAUAUCUUUCUUCAACUACGGCUUCUGAGGACAAACAAAUACCACUGAUUUUUAGGUCAUCUUUCUUAUUAAAAAGAAAGAAAGAAUUUAAAAAUCAAACACUUGAAUAUAGUUGCUGAAAAUUCUUAAUUACAUUUAGCUUGAUUUGAGGUUACUUAUUCGUAUUUAACAUAAAGAACCAAAUGAAACCUGAACUUGCAAAUAGCAAGUACAUGAGAAAACAUCCUCCUAUAUUAAGUGACCUAACCUAAAAAUAAACAAAAAAACCAUGACCUAAUUUCAGAAAUGUUUUGCUUUCAAAAAAUGGGCUACGUUGCAAGAAAAAAGACUUAAAUAUAAUUUGGGACCAAAUACAUAAGUCAAUAUGGAAAGUUAGAAGGCAUUUCAUUUAUAAAUGAAUGAUAUUUCACACUUAUAUAGCACCUUAUAUAUACAAAGUGCUUUACAAUGAUUAUUCAACAGCCCAUUCAUCAAUGUAAAUAAAUGUGGUUUACAAUCUGUUAACAAAUGUAAGCACUUUGAGGCAACCAAAUAUCCAAGAAAAUCUAUUUAGUAACAAAUUCCUGGACUAGCAGAUAGAUGUGAGAAAAAACGUAAAGAGAUCUGCCAUAAUAUAACAUACAAGAAGUUACUAAUGUUAGUGACUGAUAUUAAGAUAUCAAGUGUUAGGAAUUGUUAAAAAAUGGAAGGGUUUAUAUUAAAGAACAAGUAAAACAAAUGGGGCAUAAGUCAACAAACAGCCCAAAAAUAAGACUACCAAUAACUUGUACAUAUAUGAAAGAUAACUCUUUUAGAUGUGGAAAGCAACUGAAGGUAUGUCAACCACAUUGUUAGAAAAUGAUCCUCAGUUACUAAGAUAUUCCAAAAGAACAAGAAAUUAAUGCAGUGUCUAAUUUUUUUUCUUUUGUAAUUUAUCCCAAAAUAACCUCACCAAACAUUCACUUCUGCCAGCAAACAAGAUAGCAGGAAAUAAUGAAAUUUUAUGUAUUUAUGUUUUAAAAAUAGUCUCCAAAUCUUUGGACAAAUUUAAUUUCCUAUAAAACAAUGUGAAAACUCAUUUUUUCCUCAAAUAAUUCUUCCAGGUGCCUUAGGGAAGAUGUGAUUAGCACCUCUGCCAAUGUAUUCAAGUCUUUGCAAAAAGA
rnacentral:lncRNA from 10 species